ACACAAUGCUAUUCGCCAGAGAACUACAAGUGAAAAACUUAAAACUCCAAGGACUUGGCGGUGCUCCAUAUCGACCUAGAGGAGCCUGUCCUAUAAUCGAUACCCCCGUUUCACCUUACCAUUUUUAGCAACUCAGCCUAUAUACCGCCCUCGUCAGCUUACCUAGUGAGAGAUUUAAAGUAGGCAAAACAGUUAUUUACUAACACGUCAGGUCAAGGUGUAGCACACAAAAUGGAAGAGAUGGGCUACAUUUUCUAACCUAGAAAAAACGAAGAUUGCAGUGAAAUCUGCCCUUUAAGGAGGAUUUAGCUGUAAGACAGACAAGAGAAUCUGCCUAAACCCCGCUUUGGAGCGCGC
rnacentral:rRNA from 1 species